GGACUACCGGGGUAUCUAAUCCCGUUCGCUCCCCACGCCUUCGCGCCUCAGCGUCAGGUCCGGCCCAGUGGGCCGCCUUCGCCACGGGUGUUCUUCCUGAUCUCUACGCAUUUCACCACUCCACCAGGAGUUCCACCCACCUCUACCGGCCUCAAGCCCGCCGGUUUGCCACGACCCUCCCGCGUUGAGCACGGGGCUUUCACGUGACACCUCGCAGGCCGCCUGCGCGCGCUUUACGCCCAGUCACUCCGGACAACGCUCGGACCCUACGUAUUACCGCGGCUGCUGGCAC
rnacentral:rRNA from 1 species